rnacentral:rRNA from 1 species
AGAGUUUGAUCAUGGCUCAGGAUGAACGCUAGCGACAGGCCUAACACAUGCAAGUCGAGGGGCAGCGAAGAGGUAGCAAUACCUUGUCGGCGACCGGCGCACGGGUGAGUAACACGUAUGCAAUCCACCUGUAACAGGGGGAUAACCCGGAGAAAUCCGGACUAAUACCCCAUAAUAUGGGCGCUCCGCAUGGAGAGCCCAAUUAAAGAGUAAGCUAAUUUUGGUUACAGACGAGCGAUGCGCUCCAUUAGCCAGUUGGCGGGGUAACGGCCCACCAAAGCGACGAUGGAUAGGGGUUCUGAGAGGAAGGUCCCCCACAUUGGAACUGAGACACGGUCCAAACUCCUACGGGAGGCAGCA